UCUAGUGUAGAGGUGAAAUUCGUAGAUAUUAGAAAGAAUACCAAUUGCGAAGGCAGCUUUCUGGAUCAUUACUGACACUGAGGAACGAAAGCAUGGGUAGCGAAGAGGAUUAGAUACCCUCGUAGUCCAUGCCGUAAACGAUGUGUGUUAGACGUUGGAAAUUUAUUUUCAGUGUCGCAGGGAAACCGAUAAACACACCGCCUGGGGAGUACGACCGCAAGGUUAAAACUCAAAUGAAUUGACGGGGACCCGCACAAGUAGUGGAGCAUGUGGUUUAAUUCGAAGAUACGCGCAGAACCUUACCAACACUUGACAUGUUCGUCGCGACUCUAAGAGAUUAGAGUUUUCGGUUCGGCCGGACGAAACACAGGUGCUGCAUGGCUGUCGUCAGCUCGUGUCGUGAGAUGUUGGGUUAAGUCCCGCAACGAGCGCAACCCUCACUUUUAGUUGCCAUCAUUAAGUUGGGCACUCUGAAAGAACUGCCAGUGAUAAGCUGGAGGAAGGUGGGGAUGACGUCAAGUCCUCAUGGCCCUUACGUGUUGGGCUACACACGUGCUACAAUGGCAUCUACAACAGGAAGCAAAACGGCAACGUUAAGCAAAUCCCGAAAAGAUGCCUCAGUUCGGAUUGCACUCUGCAACUCGAGUGCAUGAAGCUGGAAUUACUAGUAAUCGUGGAUCAGCGUGCCACGGUGAAUGCGUUCCCGGGUCUUGUACACACCGCCCGUCACACCAUGGGAGUUGGUUCUACCUUAAGGCAAGGUUUUAAACCCUUGACCACGGUAUAGUCAGCGACUGGGGUGAAGUCGUAACAAGGUAGCCGUA
rnacentral:rRNA from 1 species